GAUGAACGCUAGCGGCAGGCCUAAUACAUGCAAGUCAAGGGGGAUAGCAAUAUCACCGGCGGACGGGUGCGUAACGCGUACACAACGUGCCCAAGGGCGGAGGAAAGCGGCGGGAAACUGCCGGUAAUACUCCAUGGUGUUGUUGAGUGGCAUCACUUAACAACUAAAGUACAAGCGCCCUUGGAUCGGUGUGCGUUCGAUUAGCUAGUUGGCGGGGUAACGGCCCACCAAGGCUUCGAUCGAUAGGGGGUGUGAGAGCAUGACCCCCCACACGGGUACUGAGACACGGACCCGACUCCUACGGGAGGCAGCAGUAAGGAAUAUUGGACAAUGGGCGGAAGCCUGAUCCAGCCAUGCCGCGUGAAGGACGAAGGCGCUCAGCGUUGUAAACUUCUUUUGGAUGGGAACAAUAACUCCGACUUGUCGGAACUUGAGGGUACCAUCAGAAUAAGCACCGGCUAACUCCGUG
rnacentral:rRNA from 1 species